GGCAUCCUUCUGCUGGACAUUUCAUGUCAAACCAACAAAGUCUUGGCAUCCAACUUGCACAGCUUAGUCGAGAUGCUUCUGCUGCUGGUGCAGCUCGCCGUCUGACAAGAAUGUGGAAAUCGUAUCAGUUGGGGUUGCAGGAAAAUCUGAUACUAAUCGUGUGAAAAAGUAUUUUCGUCUAGAGUUUCUUGACAAGGAGC
rnacentral:misc_RNA from 1 species